GUGUCAGCCGCCGCGGUAAGACGAACCGUGCGAACGUUAUUCGGAAUCACUGGGCUUAAAGGGCGCGUAGGCGGGCUGUCAAGUUUGGGGUGAAAUCCCGCGGCUCAACCGUGGAACUGCCUCAAAUACUGACGGCCUCGAGGAAGGUAGGGGCAUGCGGAACUGUAGGUGGAGCGGUGAAAUGCGUUGAUAUCUACAGGAACUCCGGUGGCGAAAGCGGCGUGCUGGACCUUUUCUGACGCUGAGGCGCGAAAGCUAGGGGAGCAAACGGGAUUAGAUACCCUCGUAGUCC
rnacentral:rRNA from 1 species